rnacentral:rRNA from 1 species
GAGCCUUUUGGGGUGACAGCGUGCCUUUUGAAGAAUGAGCCUGCGAGUUAGUGUUAUGUCGCGAGGUUAACCCGUGUGGGGUAUCCGUAGCGAAAGCGAGUCUGAAUAGGGCGUUUGAGUGGCAUGACCUAGACCCGAAGCGGAGUGAUCUACCCAUGGCCAGGUUGAAGCGCGUGUAAGAGCGCGUGGAGGACCGAACCCACUUCAGUUGAAAAUGGAGGGGAUGAGCUGUGGAUAGGGGUGAAAGGCCAAUCAAACACCGUGAUAGCUGGUUCUCCCCGAAAUGCAUUUAGGUGCAGCGUUGCGUGGUUCUUGUUGGAGGUAGAGCACUGGAUGGUCUAGGGGGCUUAUCGGCUUACCGAAAUCAGCCAAACUCCGAAUGCUGGCAAGUGUAGCGUGGCAGUGAGACGGCGGGGGAUAAGCUUCGUCGUCGAGAGGGAAACAGCCCAGAUCAUCAGCUAAGGCCCCUAAGUGGUGACUCAGUGGGAAAGGAUGUGGAGUUGCGUAGACAACCAGGAGGUUGGCUUGGAAGCAGCCAUCCUUGAAAGAGUGCGUAAUAGCUCACUGGUCAAGUGAUUCCGCGCCGAUAAUGUAGCGGGGCUUAAGUUAUCCGCCGAAGCUGUGGCAACCUGUGUGGUUGGGUAGGGGAGCGUCGUGUCAGUGGUGAAGCUGCCGGGUGACUGUGUGGUGGAGUUGAUGCGAGUGAGAAUGCAGGCAUGAGUAGCGUGUGACGGGUGGGAAUCCCGUCCGCCGAUUAUCCAAGGGUUCCAGGGUCAAGUUUGUCUGCCCUGGGUGAGUCGGGUCCUAAGGCGAGGCCGACAGGCGUAGUCGAUGGGUAACCAGUUGAUAUUCUGGUACCGGCUUGUCACCGUCCGUGUCGAGGUGUGUGAUGCUAAGCAUGUGAGCUUGUCUUGGGAGUGUUUUUGAUGCUUCUGGGGUGGGUGAGUGUGUGAACCGAUCAUGUAGUAGGCAAGCUGCGGAGGGACGCAGUGAGGUAGCUCAUCCCCGGUGAUGGUUGUCCGGGGCUAAGUGUGUGGACUGUCUGGUAGGUAAAUCCGCUGGGCAUGAAGGUUGAGGCAUGAUGGGGAGCCCACGGUUGUGGGUGAGUGAGUGAUCCUGUACUGUCGAGAAAAGCUUCGUGAGCGAGGUGGCGGGUCCGCCCGUACCCUAAACCGACACUGGUGGAUAGGUAGAGUAUACCGAGGCGAUCGAGUGAAUCGUGGUGAAGGAACUCGGCAAAAUGCCCCCGUAACUUUGGGAUAAGGGGGACCUGAGCUGUCGUGCACCCGUGCGGUGUGGUGGCGGUGAGGGGCGCAGAGUCCAGGGGGAAACGACUGUUUACCAAAAACACAGGUCCGUGCGAAGUCGUAAGACGAUGUAUACGGACUGACUCCUGCCCGGUGCUGGAAGGUUAAGGGGAACUGUGAGUGUAUGCGUAGCGGUGAACUUAAGCCCCAGUAAACGGCGGUGGUAACUAUAACCAUCCUAAGGUAGCGAAAUUCCUUGUCGGGUAAGUUCCGACCUGCACGAAUGGAGUAACGACUUCCCUACUGUCUCAACCAUGAACUCGGCGA